CCCUCGCCACCAAGCCAGCGAACUUGGAUCAGGUACUAACUUUGAUCAGAUUUUUCUUUACCUUAACAUCAAGCCAUCGGCUGGGCGUAGGAAGCUAGCUCAUGGGAAACAAACCUUGGUGGCUCAUACUCUGUAGCAAGCAAAGCAAUCUGGUUUCAUAAACACCAACUCUCCCUUUCAAUUAUUAAGAGUGCCAUAAUCAUAAGAACCUGCACUUGCGAAAACAAAAUUAAUAAUGACUAAAAUGAUGGACAUCAUUCAAAGUUCAUGGGAAGAUUCCUCAUGGUGGAUUUAGGUCAAAAUUCAGAAUCUAUACUACUAUUAAAAGAGCAAACAUGAUUUCCCCUACAGACACACCACAAAGUGUACACAGGAUUACCAGAGGCAUUCGAUCAAUCCAACUAAAUCAUAUCUAAUAGUCCAUAUUACAUCAAGGGUCUGCCACACAAAUGAACGAUCCAGAUGAAAUGUUCCGCCGGAGCAGACUGCCCAGCGCACCCCUUCGUCCACAAUUAGCAGGGAUAGAGGAUUUCAAUCCCAUAAUUUUCUCUCUGCCCUCAGAAUCACGAGCUGUCACUCCUUUGCUGCCGCACGGGCACCAACGUGGAUCCCCAUCACCCACCCACUGCUCCUCCUCUGUUGGCUGUCGCCCCAUGGGCACGAGCGCUAAUCGAUGUUGCUGCGGUUCUCUCCUCUUCUGCUACCCAACGGACGCGAACACAGGACUCAGUCGCCACUGUCCGCUCCUCUACAGCCCCAAGGACACGAGCGCAGGCUGCCGUCGCUGCUUGCUGCUCUCCUCUGCUGCCCAUGGAUGCCAGCGAGGAUCUCUGACGCCACCGUCCGCGAGGAUCUCCGGCGCCACCGUCCACGAGGACCUCUGCUGCUCCACGGACGUGAGCGUGGGGCACCGUGGCCGCCUGCAGAUCUGCUCUGCUGACCCACGGAUGCGAGCGCAGGUUGCCGGCGUCGCCACAUUGUGGCCCUCGCCACCAAGCCAACAAACUUGGAUCAGGUACUAACUUUGAUCAGAUUUUUCCUAUCGGCUGGGCGUAGGAAGCUAGCUCAUGGGAAACAAACCUUGGUGGGUCAUACUCUGUAGCAAGCAAAGCGAUCUGGUUUCAUGAACACCAACUCUCCCCUUUCAUUAUUAAGAGUGCCAUAAUCAGAAGAACUUGCACUUGUGAAAACAAAAUUAAUAAUGACUAAAAUGAUGGACAUCAUUCAAAGUUCAUGGGCAGAUUCCUCAUUGUAGAUUUGGGUCAAAAUUCUAAAAUACAAAGAGUAACAAAAAUAACAUGAGUACAAUUGUGCUCCUAUUUCUUAAUAUACCGAGUGAAAAUAAAUACAAUGGCCUAUAAUAUAGAGUUUAUGUGCUUUGCAUUAAACUGAAUGCAUGGCAACUGAUCAUUUCUCCAAUCUGUUCUGUUAUAUAAGUAAGCACAUAAUUGGGAGGACUGACAUCCAACUUGGGUAAACGAAAGAAUUAGCAACAUAAUUUAGGAGAUGCCUAUCUUUUGUAGCAUGAAAGUCAGAUAGUCAACAAGUUCUGGAUCAACAAGACCCUGAGCAGAAAAGGUAGACAACAUCCAGCAAAAGGUAGACUCGGUUCUUUCACUCAUGCUUCUCUGGAUUUCUACUUGCUAAAUCCAGUACAUGCUUCUCUGAAUUUCGACAACCUAAGUUCAGUACAUGCUUCUCUCAAUGUUGGCCUGCCAAUUGGUAUUGUAUUGCAGACUUGAGAGUACUGUAUGCAAUCCAUUUGUGCCAAUGGAUUACCAAAUUUUUAUGUUACUUUUAGGCCAUUUGAAUGAAAGGACCUCUAUGACAAUCUACGACAAAACAUUUUGUGCGAAUAAAAUUCAGUACAUGCUUCUCUAAAUAUCUGCAACACAAUUAAGCAAAAUUUGUUCGUAUAUGUUGGCCUGCCAAUUGGUUUUGGGUACUAUGCAUGCAUGUUUCUCAAAUGCAUACUCCAAGUGCCACUUAUGUGCUUAAUAAGGUGAACUUCUGUUUAAAUAAUAAUGUUGGUUUGCCGAAGUUUUCUUGUACGAUACACACUAGCUGCGGGAGGUGAUGUUUUUAAGUUGAAUGGUUUGAGUUUAUGAACCAAAUGGUUGUCUAGUUGCUUCUGAUGUUUGCAACACAAGCAUAUAGAGCUACAAUUGUCAAUCGUUGGAGAAAGCGCUUUUCUGAGACAGCACAUCGAUAAAGACCACUUAUCAAGCAUCACCAUCAGAGGAGAUCAAACUCUUAACAAGGAUGCAAGCGAAGUGAACAUACCUCAGAAUGGAGUUGCUUGCUAUUAUGAAAGCGAGGUGCACUUGGUGUGUACACAUCACUCGGUGAAUCCAAGCUUACUUCC
rnacentral:lncRNA from 1 species